GGGCGGGUGGCGGAACUGGCAGACGCAACGGCCUUAGGAGCCGUUGGGAGAAAUCCCGUGAGAGUUCAAAUCUCUCCCCGCCCA
rnacentral:tRNA from 1 species